rnacentral:siRNA from 1 species
UUGUGGCUGCCCAAACUUCCUG